rnacentral:rRNA from 1 species
AGUGAACGCUGGCGGUAGGCCUAACACAUGCAAGUCGAACGGCAGCACAGUAAGAGCUUGCUCUUACGGGUGGCGAGUGGCGGACGGGUGAGGAAUACAUCGGAAUCUACUUUUUCGUGGGGGAUAACGUAGGGAAACUUACGCUAAUACCGCAUACGACCUACGGGUGAAAGCAGGGGAUCUUCGCACCUUGCGCGAUUGAAUGAGCCGAUGUCGGAUUAGCUAGUUGGCGGGGUAAAGGCCCACCAAGGCGACGAUCCGUAGCUGGUCUGAGAGGAUGAUCAGCCACACUGGAACUGAGACACGGUCCAGACUCCUACGGGAGGCAGCAGUGGGGAAUAGUGGACAAUGGGCGCAAGCCUGAUCCAGCCAUACCGCGUGGGUGAAGAAGGCCUUCGGGUUGUAAAGCCCUUUUGUUGGGAAAGAAAAGCAGCAGGUUAAUACCCCGCUGUUCUGACGGUACCCAAAGAAUAAGCACCGGCUAACUUCGUG